UCCUCACCUACCAAAAAUGAUACAACUACCAAAAAUGUCAAAUAAAAUUAAAUAAAGCAAUUCCGCACAGAUGAUGUCCGCACCCCAAGAAAUUAUAAUAAACUCAAAAAUACCCCAAAAUCUGAUUGUCAUGUGUACAAGCCUCUAAAGUAUUACAAUUGAAUCAAAAGAAAAAUAUAAGUCUCAUAUGACAUUGUUUCUAGAGUAGAACAAGAUCAUAAACAAGAGUAAGAAGGUCUGCUGAGUUGACAAACAACUACCUCACAAAUCUCCA
rnacentral:lncRNA from 1 species